AGAAAAGGAUGGAAGCACUGCACCCCAGAAUGAACAAUAAGGACAGAUUCUUACCCUAAGCCAUCAAUGGACUUUGUACAUCUGCAGUUAAUUACAAAUAGGUUCAAAGACAAAUGGACUAAAAUCAAAAGACUUCAAGAUGUAAACAUUCUAGAAUACAUUCAUCAAAGACAUCUGCAAUAUGAAAACUCUCAAAAGAAGAAUCUAGGCUGCUUCUUUUUCAUUAGUGUACUGGAUUCUUCUCUGAAAAAAUACUCAGUAACUUGGUUGAUCUCUUAUGUCUUUCUAGUCACUGCUGAAGACCAGUAAAAUCUUGCUGUCUUCUGUC